UCGAUUCCGGAAGUAGCGGCGAGCGAACGCGGAUUAGCCCAAACUAAUAAAGUUUUCUUUAUUGGGGUUGCGGAAAUAUCAUAACGAAGAGGUAUCGUAAUUGAAGAGGUUUGGAAAGACCCACCACAGAAGGUAAUAGUCCUGGAUGUUAAACGAGAAGACUUUAGAUAUGAUCCAGAGUACCACGGGACACGUGAAACCCUGUGGGAAGCAGGAGGGACCACCCUCCAAGGCUAAAUACUACCUAGUGACCGAUAGCGUAUAGUACCGUGAGGGAAAGGUGAAAAGAACCCCG
rnacentral:rRNA from 1 species